rnacentral:pre_miRNA from 1 species
GAUUUCAACUGAAAAAGUCAUCAAUAACAAAGUUGUAUAACUCAUCAAUAUAUAUAACUUAUAUUUUUAUCAUUUCUUCAUCCCACAAAGUGAUUUGUAAAAUUGUUCACAAAAUGUACAUAUCUCUAAUAUAGUUUUAUAAACUGUAAAUUUUGUGAAAAUGUUACUAUCACUUUGUUGGAUGAAGAAAUGACCAAAAUAGAAAUUAUAAAUCUUGAUGAGUUAUACAACUUUGUUGUUGAUGACUUUUUCAGCUGAAAUC